ensembl:rRNA 5S_rRNA 5S ribosomal RNA
CUACAGCCAUACCACCCUGAACGCGCCCGAUCUCGGCUGAUCUAGGAAGCUAAGCAGGGUCGGGCCUGGUUAGUACUUGGAUGGGAGCAAGCUCUGGCUGCUCUGUGGC